GACGAACGCUGGCGGCGUGCUUAACGCAUGCAAGUCGAACGGAAAGGCCCUGCUUUUGUGGGGUGCUCGAGUGGCGAACGGGUGAGUAACACGUGAGUAACCUGCCCUUGACUUUGGGAUAACUUCAGGAAACUGGGGCUAAUACCGCAUAGGAUCUCCUGCUGCAUGGUGGGGGUUGGUAAGUUUCGGCGGUUGGGGAUGGACUCGCGGCUUAUCAGCUUGUUGGUGGGGUAGUGGCUUACCAAGGUUUUGACGGGUAGCCGGCCUGAGAGGGUGACCGGCCACAUUAGGACUGAGAUACGGCCCAGACUCGUACGGGAGGCAGCAGUGGAGAAUAUUGCACAAUGGGCGGAAGCCAGAUGCAGCAACGCCGCGUGCGGGAUGACGGGCUGCGGGUUGUAAACCGCUGUCGCCUGUGACGAAGCGUGAGUGACGGUAAUGGGUAAAGAAGCACCGGCUAACUACGUG
rnacentral:rRNA from 1 species